UGAACUUGCUGACUGUGUGUAUUCUUGCCU
rnacentral:piRNA from 1 species